rnacentral:rRNA from 1 species
CAAGUCGAACGCGUUGGCCCAAUUGAUUGAUGGUGCUUGCACCUGAUUGAUUUUGGUCGCCAACGAGUGGCGGACGGGUGAGUAACACGUAGGUAACCUGCCCAGAAGCGGGGGACAACAUUUGGAAACAGAUGCUAAUACCGCAUAACAGCGUUGUUCGCAUGAACAACGCUUAAAAGAUGGCUUCUCGCUAUCACUUCUGGAUGGACCUGCGGUGCAUUAGCUUGUUGGUGGGGUAAUGGCCUACCAAGGCGAUGAUGCAUAGCCGAGUUGAGAGACUGAUCGGCCACAAUGGGACUGAGACACGGCCCAUACUCCUACGGGAGGCAGCAGUAGGGAAUCUUCCACAAUGGGCGCAAGCCUGAUGGAGCAACACCGCGUGAGUGAAGAAGGGUUUCGGCUCGUAAAGCUCUGUUGUUAAAGAAGAACACGUAUGAGAGUAACUGUUCAUACGUUGACGGUAUUUAACCAGAAAGUCACGGCUAACUACGUGCCAGCAGCCGCGGUAAUACGUAGGUGGCAAGCGUUAUCCGGAUUUAUUGGGCGUAAAGAGAGUGCAGGCGGUUUUCUAAGUCUGAUGUGAAAGCCUUCGGCUUAACCGGAGAAGUGCAUCGGAAACUGGAUAACUUGAGUGCAGAAGAGGGUAGUGGAACUCCAUGUGUAGCGGUGGAAUGCGUAGAUAUAUGGAAGAACACCAGUGGCGAAGGCGGCUACCUGGUCUGCAACUGACGCUGAGACUCGAAAGCAUGGGUAGCGAACAGGAUUAGAUACCCUGGUAGUCCAUGCCGUAAACGAUGAGUGCUAGGUGUUGGAGGGUUUCCGCCCUUCAGUGCCGGAGCUAACGCAUUAAGCACUCCGCCUGGGGAGUACGACCGCAAGGUUGAAACUCAAAGGAAUUGACGGGGGCCCGCACAAGCGGUGGAGCAUGUGGUUUAAUUCGAAGCUACGCGAAGAACCUUACCAGGUCUUGACAUCUUGCGCCAACCCUAGAGAUAGGGCGUUUCCUUCGGGAACGCAAUGACAGGUGGUGCAUGGUCGUCGUCAGCUCGUGUCGUGAGAUGUUGGGUUAAGUCCCGCAACGAGCGCAACCCUUGUUACUAGUUGCCAGCAUUAAGUUGGGCACUCUAGUGAGACUGCCGGUGACAAACCGGAGGAAGGUGGGGACGACGUCAGAUCAUCAUGCCCCUUAUGACCUGGGCUACACACGUGCUACAAUGGACGGUACAACGAGUCGCGAACUCGCGAGGGCAAGCAAAUCUCUUAAAACCGUUCUCAGUUCGGACUGCAGGCUGCAACUCGCCUGCACGAAGUCGGAAUCGCUAGUAAUCGCGGAUCAGCAUGCCGCGGUGAAUACGUUCCCGGGCCUUGUACACACCGCCCGUCACACCAUGAGAGUUUGUAACACCCAAAGUCGGUGGGGUAAC